rnacentral:rRNA from 1 species
AGAGUUUGAUCCUGGCUCAGAUUGAACGCUGGCGGCAUGCCUUACACAUGCAAGUCGAACGGCAGCACGGGAGCUUGCUCCUGGUGGCGAGUGGCGAACGGGUGAGUAAUACAUCGGAACGUACCCAGUAGUGGGGGAUAACGCACCGAAAGGUGCGCUAAUACCGCAUACGACCUAAGGGUGAAAGCGGGGGACCGUAAGGCCUCGCGCUAUUGGAGUGGCCGAUGUCUGAUUAGCUAGUUGGUGAGGUAAAGGCUCACCAAGGCUUCGAUCAGUAGCUGGUCUGAGAGGACGAUCAGCCACACUGGGACUGAGACACGGCCCAGACUCCUACGGGAGGCAGCAGUGGGGAAUUUUGGACAAUGGGCGAAAGCCUGAUCCAGCAAUGCCGCGUGUGCGAAGAAGGCCUUCGGGUUGUAAAGCACUUUUGUCAGGGAAGAAAUCUUUUAGGCUAAUACCUUGGAAGGAUGACGGUACCUGAAGAAUAAGCACCGGCUAACUACGUGCCAGCGGCCGCGGUAAUACGUAGGGUGCAAGCGUUAAUCGGAAUUACUGGGCGUAAAGCGUGCGCAGGCGGUUUGUUAAGACAGUCGUGAAAUCCCCGGGCUUAACCUGGGAACUGCGAUUGUGACUGGCAGGCUAGAGUACGGCAGAGGGGGGUGGAAUUCCUGGUGUAGCAGUGAAAUGCGUAGAGAUCAGGAGGAACACCGAUGGCGAAGGCAGCCCCCUGGGCUAGUACUGACGCUCAUGCACGAAAGCGUGGGGGCAAACAGGAUUAGAUACCCUGGUAGUCCACGCCCUAAACGAUGUCAAUUAGUUGUUGGUUCUUUAUUGAAUCAGUAACGUAGCUAACGCGUGAAAUUGACCGCCUGGGGAGUACGGUCGCAAGAUUAAAACUCAAAGGAAUUGACGGGGACCCGCACAAGCGGUGGAUGAUGUGGAUUAAUUCGAUGCAACGCGAUAAGCCUUACCUACCCUUGACAUGUUCGGAAUUCUGCAGAGAUGCGGAAGUGCUCGAAAGAGAACCGGAACACAGGUGCUGCAUGGCUGUCGUCAGCUCGUGUCGUGAGAUGUUGGGUUAAGUCCCGCAACGAGCGCAACCCUUAUCAUUAGUUGCUACGCAAGGGCACUCUAAUGAGACUGCCGGUGACAAACCGGAGGAAGGUGGGGAUGACGUCAAGUCCUCAUGGCCCUUAUGGGUAGGGCUUCACACGUCAUACAAUGGUCGGUACAGAGGGCUGCCAACCCGCAAGGGGGAGCCAAUCCUUUAAAACCGAUCGUAGUCCGGAUUGAGGUCUGCAACUCGACCUCAUGAAGUCAGAAUCGCUAGUAAUCGCGGAUCAGCAUGUCGCGGUGAAUACGUUCCCGGGUCUUGUACACACCGCCCGUCACACCAUGGGAGCGGGUUUUACCAGAAGUAGCUAGCCUAACCGCAAGGGGGGCGGUUACCACGGUAGGAUUCGUGACUGGGGUGAAGUCGUAACAAGGUA